CAACCUUGAUGAAAGAACUGAGACUUCUAUUCCACACCGGCUGUGUUUCCAUGUCAGCAAUGUCACAACUUGAGUAAUUAGCAUUAAGAUGGAACAGAUGAUGCUGAUUCUGUAGGAGAGCCCAUAUUUUCCAUCUGUUGGGAAAGCAACAAAAUCGCCAAGAAUCCGAGUUGCAUGAUUAUACUGGCAUCUUCCCAGUGGCAUGGGGAGAUCAUCUCUGGCCAUGCUAAAUCUGUCAGGGAUCAACAGUACCACAAAUGAAACUCAAACAGAAAAGAUCCCAACAGGGAAAAUGUUUAUAGUAACAUCAUAAUAAGGUGAGUUUCUAUCCUCAUUUUUUUUAUAAAGAUGUCACAUCAGUAUUGGAAGUACAUGGAAUACAUCAUUUAAACACCAUGGAUGAAAAGUUCCAGAUUUGUUUUAUCCGGAAAGCUUAAAUUUAGAAUAUAGAUCGAGUCGAAGGGGAAAGCAGAACCUUGAUUUUUGUAUCUAUUACAAAAUGAAAUUUGCUUCCCAUAAGAGCUUCAGUAGGAAGAUAAAAUGUCAAAUAAGUUUGACUCAGACAGUUGAAAUUCAUGCAUACUGCUCCUAGACAAGAAUGAGAUUUAGAGAUGAACAUAAAUUAACAUAUAUACUUCAUGUUCACAUCAUAAACUGAAAUGAGUGUACAUGUUAAAAGAAAAAACAGAAACACACUUAUCUCCUUGACAGUGCGUGCAGUGUGUGCGCGCGCGCAUGCAUGGUGUGGACGAUGAGAGAGAACUAAGGAGACUUACUUGUUACACUGCUGAAAAUUCGUCCAUUCACCACCAUCUCUCUCUCUCUCUCUCUCUCCUGCCCUUUUCCUCCCUUGCGAGAGUUGGAGAAGUGAUUGCAAAAUAUGUGGUUGAGAAAGUAGAAACUUUCUCUUUUCUGUUUUCCUUUUUUAUAUAGAUGAAUCAGUGUGUGUGUGAGAGUGAAGGAAAGUAAAACAAAGUGCAAAGCAAACCGCCUCCCUUGAUAGUAUAGUAUAGAGACGUGAAUGAUUGUAAGGUUGUAAUCGGCGAAGAUAGUGAUAUUAGGGGAGAAGACACACCGAAAACCCUCCUUGUAUAUACAUAAACACCAGUAUUUUUAAUAUAUAUCCCCUCAAAAUAUAUAUAGUAUACUACUUAAUUCAAUUGUAUGUCUGCCGACUGCGAGUGUCUUUUGGAAUGUCGUCUUCAUCAGUCACGUGAGGACGUGAAGUGAAUUUCGGAAGAGUCUUUUUUAUUUUCACUUAACAGUUUGUAAUUAACUUUUGACCAACUGUGGUGAUUGUUUUUAGGCAUUCGUGAUUAUCUUUUAGGAAUAUCAAAGGCAUAGAUAUUAUAUAUACAUCUCUUUGAAGAUCCAAAAAACCUAAAGAAGUAUAUCUGUACGAGCAAUUCUUUCGGAGGAGUCGUUUUCCAUGAUGUAGUUGCUGACAGGUAUGCAAAUUUUAUGUAUAUUAGUAUCAAUUAUCACCCUCUGCGAAAAAAAGACAUAAUGCGAUCGAUUGCUAAUUUUUGUUAGGGAUAAUAAGUCUUACAAAUCAUUAAGUUUGGGCCUAUGAUAUUAUUUUCCACGAAUUCUAAAAGUGUUCUAUAAAAUUACUAGUAUAUAUAUAGUGCAAUUUUCCUGAAACAAUUCAAUAGUAGUGGAGUAGUAUUAUUUUUCAGGGUAAAUUGAACCUAGGUGGCUGGCUCUACUUUAUUUUGUAGGCCACUUUUAAAAUUCAUGAAAAAUAUAAAAAAAAUGACCUAAAGUUUAUGAUUUUUAAGACUAUUAAAGUUUUUUUUUUAUAUAGAAAAAGUUGUCUAACCUUUCAAAAAUCCAGGUGGUUGAUCCGCAUGAAUUUUCCCUGGUUUUAUAGACUUGUUUGGUUUUGAUCAUAUAUUGCUUGAAUUGAGCUUGAUAAUGUCUAUAUUCCUUUAUUUUGGUAAUUCGACAUUUUAUUGAGGAUUGUGUAGAAAAUAGGUGUAAAACGCAAAGUGCAUAAGUUUAGGUGGAAAUGUGGAACCGAAGGAAUCCAAUGACUGGUUGAGUGACUAUUGACUUCACACGAAAGCCAACCUGAUACGGGAACACACCCGACAACAAUCACAGAAGCGCAAGGGGACGAAGUGAGACGGGAGGAAGGCUGCGAGGUACCGAGAGCAGAGGAGAAUCAGUUGGUGUUUGAAACGGCAGGGGAAGAAAGAGCGCCAGCGGCAGUGCCGAGCAGGAGCGACCGGCCACGACGGGAGUCGAGACCUCCAGUGAAGUAUGGAGACUUCGUGGUCGCACGGAAUAAGCGUUGAAGAUUCAGACGUGGAGAGUUAUUUUGCUUUCUUUAAUAUUAGUAUUUAUUUUGGAUGUUGCUAUUUCAUUAUUUGGACCGAUUUAAUUAAAGUUUAGAGUCGAGCCCAAUAAGCUCCUUUCCGGGUUUUCUUGGUGAUUCUUUCCCGGAUCGCAAAAGAGAGUCGAAUCAUCUAGGGUCCUUAGAUUAUAAAAGGGGAUUGUGUUAUGAAUUGUUCAUCAAGAAAUAACAUAUUUUUCCUA